UGCCAGUGGGGCCCGCUAAAGUCUAAAAUAUGACGUCAUUUCUCAAUUACGGACAAUAACUCGCCGCUGCUUUGCCUUUUCUUUUGCUUUUCUUUUUAGUAUCGUAAAUUUGUAAUUACGGUUUUAAGUACAAAUGGUAAUUUACAUUUCAGGUCCUUACAUAAGCUGCAUUUCAUUAACUUUUUUUUUAAUUCAAUAAAUUUCCAAAAAUACUCGAAUUCACGCAAUUGAUUUCAAAAAUUUUAUGAUUAUUAUAUCUUGAUUAUACAGUUAGAUUGAAAUGGCCAAGUCAAAGAACCACACAGCUCAUAACCAGUGUUAAAGGCUCGCAAGAACGGGAUCAAUAAACCCAGAAGACAGAGGCACACCUCCACUGAAGGGCUUUGUAUUUUUUCCCAUUUUCAUCAUUUUCUAUGUGGAUCCCAAGUUUCUGAGGAAUCAGAGAUAUGCGAGGAAGCACAGCAAAAAGAGUUGCGAAUCUGCAACCGAGGAAGAGUAAAUGUUGUGACUGUAUUUUGAUUGUUUCUAGUAAUUUUUUUUAUUUUUCUAAUCUGUUCGGUUUUUACUCUGAUUGAAAUGUCUUGGAAAUUGAUUGCCAUUAAUUUAGUGAUUCUUAAAGUAACAAUGGUUUUUUGCUGGAAGGUUUAGUCACUGACUUGAUUUUGGCACUUCUACUAUACUGAUACUCAUGAUUGAAUGCUUACUUGGUUGAUGUUCCUCUUUGAUGUCUAGAUUAGGAGAUGAUUUGAUGCACUAAGCUUUUUCAUGUUUCUCGUUCAACUAGGAAAGAAAGUGGAUCAGAAAGCAUAUUCCUUGAUCUUGAUUGAUGAAAAGAGUUUUAGAUCAAGACACUGUUCAGUCAGUGAAAUGCAGCAGUGUACUGUCAUAUAGAACUUAAUAUCUUCAGUUGUGUCUGAACUUGUGAGGCUGUCCUGCCGGUAGUUAAGUGGUGUAUUGUUAAGCUUCUAAUCUGGGUAGAAUUCUUCUAUUACUCUCUGGAAUAUAUUAGGGUUUCAUUUGUGACUUUAGCUUGCCAAAAGUUGUCAGGUGGUCUUCUUAAUUUGUUGUGAAGGCUUUAGGGAACCUACUGUGAUUGAAACGCAGAACUUUUGGGUGCCACCAUUCCUCUUUUGUUAUUUCGCUAUGAGAAACCCUGAGCCACUGUGGUUAAAAAGCUGUUUGCAAAACUUCAACAAUGCAUCCUCUGUUUCCAUUGGCUAUUUGCCGUUGUAUUUGUAUAAUAUGAAGUGAUCUCCUGCUAGUAAAUGUGUUAAGCCCAAGUGGAUUAGGGAA